AUGGCGACCGGCGCACGGGUGAGUAACACGUAUCCAACCUGCCGAUGACUCGGGGAUAGCCUUUCGAAAGAAAGAUUAAUACCCGAUGGCAUAGUUCUUCCGCUAUGGUAGAACUAUUAAAGAAUUUCGGUCAUCGAUGGGGAUGCGUUCCAUUAGCUUGUUGGCGGGGUAACGGCCCACCAAGGCAUCGAUGGAUAGGGGUUCUGAGAGGAAGGUCCCCCACAUUGGAACUGAGACACGGUCCAAACUCCUACGGGAGGCAGCAG
rnacentral:rRNA from 1 species